GCACAAGGUGAUUAAAACACUUUUGGUUUGUUUCAUUACUGAAAUAUAAAUCUGUAAUGCUCAACAAUCAUUAGUUAAACUUAAACUCUAACUGAAUCUCUACUUUUUAUCAUAUUUAAUGCUAGAACAGAAUUAAAGUGAACAGACUUGUUUCAUGGCUGAAGAUCUGUGGAGCGUCAUAAACUACAGGAGAACUGAACGUUUGGAAAAGUGGAUUAUGGCAAACAAAGACGAUGAGGUAGAAUCUAAUACACCGAUAGAGAAAAUUACGCCGAGACGAGUCAGACGGAACAGCGUUAAUAGUGGAAAACCAAACUUUUUUCAUUAUGCAGACAGACCUGCAGAGAUCCGUUCUGAUCUUCAAGUCAAGUCACCUUUAUUUCUGUAGUGUUUUAUACAAUACAGAUAGAUUCACAGAUGAGAUGACAUUUACACACAGAGAAAAAAAAUACUAUAAAAAACUAAUGCAUUUGUAAGUUGUAAUAUCAUAAUGAAAUGAAUUUAGAAUUAAAAUAUUUUUUCUCAUUUAAUUUCACUAAUGAAUCUGCACUAUGACAACACUGACUGGCACUGACAUUUAUUUUGAUUGGGUUUAUGUUCAUGUUGUAUAUUGUGUUUGUAAAUUUUGUAAAAAAAAAAAAAAAAAAAAAAAAAAAAGACAGAAAACAAACAAUAAAUGAAAAACAAGCAAGUAAAGCAAAGCGCAAUCAAUACAAAUCUCUCAUGCACACUUUGCAUUAAAUCAUUUGUAUGUAGUAUUUCCCAACCUUAUUUCCAUCCUCUAUGCAAAGUUGCUCAGAUUACCCUUUGUCAUUGACUGAUACUGUAAGAUAGCUCCACAGGAUAAUGGUUUUAACAGUUGUGAAAUAAAAGCAUUCUGAUAUAUA